rnacentral:rRNA from 1 species
UACGUAGGGGGCAAGCGUUUGUCCGGAUUUACUGGGCGUAAAGCGCGUGUAGGCGGCUACGCAGGUCCGUUGUGAAAACUGGAGGCUCAACCUCCAGACGUCGACGGAAACCGUGUGGCUAGAGUCCGGAAGAGGAGAGUGGAAUUCCUGGUGUAGCGGUGAAAUGCGCAGAUAUCGGGAGGAACACCAGUGGCGAAGGCGGAACUCUGGGCCGGAACUGACGCUGAGGAGGCGAAAGCGUGGGGAGCGAACAGG